CCUGGAAACAGAUGCUAAUACCGGAUAACAACAGAUGAUGCCUAUCAACUGUUUAAAAGAUGGUUCUGCUAUCACUCUUGGAUGGACCUGCGGUGCAUUAGCUAGUUGGUAGGGUAACGGCCUACCAAGGCGAUGAUGCAUAGCCGAGUUGAGAGACUGAUCGGCCACAUUGGGACUGAGACACGGCCAACUCCUACGGGAGGCAGCAGCUA
rnacentral:rRNA from 1 species